rnacentral:lncRNA from 1 species
GGUAAGCUGUACCUGUCAGGUCCCCACAUCACUCCAUGAAUCAUCUUCUAGACAUCUUUCAAGUAGGCCAAAGCCCGAUGUGCCACCAACUUCGUUUAGCCUCUCUCGUUUCUCUGAUAAAUCAUAAAAAUUAGUUUUUUUAAGAAUGGGUGCUUCAUCGAUUUACCCGGUAUAUCCCAUAACUACAUCACUGAAUCUCAUGGCAGGGUCAACAAUCACCUCAAAAUCAUAAUGUGGUUGUCCUUAACGUCAAGCCAAACAUCAGUUGUUCGAUCCGUUGCUGACGGCAACUUCAUAAUAUACGAGUGGCAUCAAUAGCAUCACAACAAUUUUAAAGCCUCUAAUAUUCUCAAAUUUGGAUUUCAUCUGUGUGAAUUCCUCGUAUGUUGUCAGCCAUUGGAGGUGGUGGAGGAGCCCACAUUGUUCAAUUAACAAAC